AUGGCAUGCCUGAGUGAAAAAUGUGCCACCGUUGGACAGGGCCGUGCCUUGUUAGAGGAGUUUGGUUCUCCGGUCAUACAUUACAUUGUUCUACAUAUCUUCCCUGGAUUAUUUGGCUUGGGCAUCAACUGGGACAGGGUGGGACAUCAUGGUGGGAUUAGGCAUCCCACACCGACGGACUCUGCUAUUCGGACUCUGAUCCCUAGGCGCCGGACGCAUACCCACAACCACGGCCAGACCGUCACUACUGACAUUGGCUGUGAAGCAGCCAGGAAGGCGUAUCCGCAGCGACAAGGCGGAAGCGUAGCGCGGGAGCUCUCCUUCCUCACCAAUUCUACCGGCGACGAGCCCCAAAUCCGGCGGUCCCUCGCGGCCAGUGGCAAGGGCGUUACAAUCUGGUAUCAGAGCGACCGAUCCGUGGCCCGCUUCCGCUUUCUCGAGAGCGUACCCGGCAAAUUCCGAGGCGACGAGAGGAACGGCGCGACGGCGUUCAAACCCAGUGCCCGGACCAAGUACCUCGAGCGCGGCAUGGAGGCGUUCCAGGAGCGCAUGCUGAAGGAGUUUGCGGAGAUCCGUGCGGAGCAGAGCAGAUUGACGAAGGUGGCCGAAAUCUGCGACAGAUUGGAGGCGCUGGAUGCAAAGCUGGAGGAGCAGUCCCAGCGGCUGGAUCAGGUGCAAGUGAAGGUAAAUCUCUCCUGUGAUACUUUGGGGAAGGUGCAGCAAGAGCAAGUUCAGUCGAUGAUGCAGAGCAAUCAGGGCGCUACGAGGGGAGGGACCGUUCCUCAAGUUCCCCCGCCUCUAGAUGGGUUAUUGGGAGCGGCUCCAACAUCUCAGGGAUCGACGGCAAGGACUCAGCACCGGGCACCCCAGGUACAGAACCACAAUCCAUAUCCCAGUGGGGAACAGGGAGAACAUGUGCAGUGUGAGGAAGCGACUGGAAAGAGAAAUUGGAUGCCCAAAAUGGAUUUUCCAAAAUUUGACGGUACGGGGGCAAGGGUUUGGAUAGAUCAAUGUGAGGCAUUAUUCCAACUGUACAAUAUCCCUGACAGUUUUCGUGUGGCGUCUACAUCUCUGAACCUGGUGGACAACGUUGCACACUGGUUUCAGUCAGUGAGACAGAAGGGAGUGUGGCCGAAUUGGGAGCAGUUUUGUGAGGCAUUACUAGCCGAAUUUGAUGUGAAUGUGCAUCGAGAACUGUUGCAGUCCUUACUCAGGUUGAAACAGUGGGGCACUGUUGAGGAGUACAAGAGCAAGUUUCACCAGUUGGUCUAUAGCAUCAGGUUGUAUGAACCUCAACUGAGUGACACUCUGUUGGUCACAAGAUUUGUCAUGGGUUUAAAGGAAGAGUUGCGAGCUGCAGUGGAAAUGCAGUUGCCUGAAUCUGUCCAACAAGCUGCACUGUAUGCUCAAGUUCAGGAGAGGUUACUUCGGCAGAGCAAGGGCAGUAAAACCAAUUAUGCAAAAAAUGUCACAAGCAGACAGGACUCUAGAAGCAGUUUUGCACCUGGAGAGCUGUGGAAAGCUAAGCAACUCAAGGAGUACAGGAGGGCUAAUGGCCUAUGUUAUGGGUGUGGGGAAAAGUACAACCCUGGUCAUGUUUGCACACCUGCAACUAAGAAAGCUGCUCAUCUGAAGGCAGUAGAAGCUAUAAAUACCCAUGAGAUCAUAUAUGAUGUAGUGUUGGAUGCACUGUUGUAUGAUCAGCAGGAGGAAUGUGCUACUAUAUCAGUUCAGGCCCUGUCAGGAGCAACUCAUCCAAAAACUAUACAGUUCAGAGCACUGAUUGGGAAUCAAGUGGUGUUGCUGUUGUUAGAUUCUGGAAGUACACACACAUUUGUUGGUCAGGCUCUGUUGGAAAGAAUCAAGUUAACUUCAGAAAAAUUGUCUGAACCUUUAUCUGUCAAGGUGGCAAAUGGUGAUAAGCUACAGUGUACUGAAUAUGUCCCUAAUGUAACUUGGUGGCUGCAGGGGCAGAACUUCACUAGCCCUAUGAAAGUGUUGCAACUUGGCAGCUAUGACAUAAUUUUGGGCAUGGAUUGGUUAGCAAAGUGGGGAGUGAUGAAGUGUCAUUGGGCCGAAAAAUGGAUUCAGUUUGAUUAUAAGGGACAUGAUGUGAGAUUACAAGGAGUUUUGCCCAGUCAGAAACCAGAACUGAAGGAGCUGCCUGUUGAACAGUUACUGAAAUGGAACAAGGUGCCAGGGGUGACACCUGAAGAGAUUCUCGAUCGGCGGCUGGUGAAAAAGGGAAAUGCGGCACAUUUGCAAGUGUUGAUCAAGUGGUCGAACGUUCCGGUGGAGGCGGCUACAUGGGAGGAUUACGAGGUACUCAAGGUUAAAUUUCCAGAUGCACCAGCAUGGGGACAUGCUGGUUCUCAAGGGGAGGGAAAUGUCAGUAUGCAGCUACUGACAUUGGCUGUGAAGCAGCCAGGAAGGCGUAUCCGCAGCAACAAGGCGGAAGCGUAG
rnacentral:rRNA from 1 species